rnacentral:rRNA from 1 species
CCUACGGGCUGCAGCAGUGAGGAAUAUUGGUCAAUGGGCGAGAGCCUGAACCAGCCAAGUCGCGUGAGGGAGUACUGCCCUAUGGGUUGUAAACCUCUUUUGUCGGGGAGCAAAAGCCGGAAGUGUCCGUCUGUGAGAGUACCCGAAGAAAAAGCAUCGGCUAACUCCGAGCCAGCAGCCGCGGUACUACGGGGGAUGCGAACGUUAUCCGGAUUUUUUGGGUUUAAAGGGUGCGCAGGCGGGUUUUUAAGUCAGCGGUAAAAUCGUGGGGCUCAACCCCAUCCAGCCGUUGAAACUGGGGAUCUAGAGUGUGCGAGAGGUAUGCGGAAUGCGUGGUGUAGCGGUGAAAUGCAUAGAUAUCACGCAGAACCCCGAUUGCGAAGGCAGCAUACCGGUGCACAACUGACGCUCAGGCACGAAAGCGUGGGUAUCGAACAGGAUUAGAUACCCGUGUAGUC